CACCCCCCUCCCCAUAGGUAUAACGUACUACCACACCGAACUAAAUCACCAGUAAUCUAUUUACUUAGCUAUUAUGCGUAUAUUCGUAUUAGGAUACAACCAACCAACCAUCGAUCCUAUUUUCCUGGAUCUGAUAUCAUCCACUUCCACGUUGUUUUUCCCGGAUCGAGCAAGAGGGAGAGAGCACGGGUGAAGGUUGGCGGCGGCGGCAUCCUCCAGUGGCGGGUUAUGGGUGAAAUCGGUCGGAGACAGCGGCGCAUCUACGGUCAAUGGCGAUGGCGAACAGGUGGCACACGACGGCAUAGGGCAGCGGCGCAUGAGAAAGGAGGAGGCAGCGACGCAUGGUGGUGGUUGUGUCGAUCUUCUCCAUUGUGCGAUGCAUGAGGAAGGAGGAGGCAGCGGUCCGUGCAACAUGCCAAGAAAUUGCCGUGAUGGACAUCGAUUUAAGAACCAGGCCCGUCGCUGACCCAAGCUCCUUCACUCCCAUGAAAAGAUUUGCAGGUUUCCCGAUCAGAGCACACACGUUUCCCAAGUUCUCACUGAGGUGAGUCAGAUCCAACAUCAACCUUCUCCACGGAGCCGUGUGGACUGUGGAGGACGAGGCAGUGCUGCCUGGCAGAUGGAGUGGAGGGAGGAAAGCCAGCGCUCAGCUCCUUUCUCAGAACCAGUGCUGGGACAAGGCCUCCAAACAAAAUGUUUGAUUGCAGGCUGGGACAAGGCCUCCAAACAAAACUUCUACGGUUGUUGGCACAUGCGCCAUCGUCGGCUAUGAUUUGUCCUCCGCCGAUCCAAUUGGAGCAGCAACAUCUAGUUUUUUCAUUUGUACAAUCAAUAUGUAUGUGUACCCCCGAGUCUUUGUAAACAUGAAAUGUAGCUGUAAUUUAUUUUUGGCUUGGUAAAUAUGUUACGGUAGUAGCCAGGGAGUAAUUUAUUUUUAUGAGAAAAGAUUGAAGUAAAUUUGUUGUUAGAGCGAUGUGUUAGUACGUUUUUAUCUGGGAGUAAUUUAUUUACCAAGAGAAUA
rnacentral:lncRNA from 1 species